rnacentral:rRNA from 1 species
CAGUCGCCGCGGUAAUACGGAGGGUGCGAGCGUUAAUCGGAAUUACUGGGCGUAAAGCGUACGCAGGCGGUCUGUUAAGUCAGAUGUGAAAUCCCCGGGCUUAACCCGGGAACUGCAUUUGAAACUGGCAGGCUAGAGUCUCGUAGAGGGGGGUAGAAUUCCAGGUGUAGCGGUGAAAUUCGUAGAUAUAGGAAGGAACAUCAGUGGCGAAGGCGACCACCUGGACUGAUACUGACACUGAGGUACGAAAGCAUGGGGAGCAAACAGGAUUAGAUACCCCGGUAGUCCCUGUCUCUUAUAC